rnacentral:rRNA from 1 species
GAUGAACGCUGGCGGCGUGCCUAAUACAUGCAAGUCGAGCGAACGGACGAGAAGCUUGCUUCUCUGAUGUUAGCGGCGGACGGGUGAGUAACACGUGGAUAACCUACCUAUAAGACUGGGAUAACUUCGGGAAACCGGAGCUAAUACCGGAUAAUAUUUUGAACCGCAUGGUUCAAAAGUGAAAGACGGUCUUGCUGUCACUUAUAGAUGGAUCCGCGCUGCAUUAGCUAGUUGGUAAGGUAACGGCUUACCAAGGCAACGAUGCAUAGCCGACCUGAGAGGGUGAUCGGCCACACUGGAACUGAGACACGGUCCAGACUCCUACGGGAGGCAGCAGUAGGGAAUCUUCCGCAAUGGGCGAAAGCCUGACGGAGCAACGCCGCGUGAGUGAUGAAGGUCUUCGGAUCGUAAAACUCUGUUAUUAGGGAAGAACAUAUGUGUAAGUAACUGUGCACAUCUUGACGGUACCUAAUCAGAAAGCCACGGCUAACUACGUGCCAGCAGCCGCGGUAAUACGUAGGUGGCAAGCGUUAUCCGGAAUUAUUGGGCGUAAAGCGGCGCGUAGGCGGUUUUUUAAGUCUGAUGUGAAAGCCCACGGCUCAACCGUGGAGGGUCAUUGGAAACUGGAAAACUUGAGUGCAGAAGAGGAAAGUGGAAUUCCAUGUGUAGCGGUGAAAUGCGCAGAGAUAUGGAGGAACACCAGUGGCGAAGGCGACUUUCUGGUCUGUAACUGACGCUGAUGUGCGAAAGCGUGGGGAUCAAACAGGAUUAGAUACCCUGGUAGUCCACGCCGUAAACGAUGAGUGCUAAGUGUUAGGGGGUUUCCGCCCCUUAGUGCUGCAGCUAACGCAUUAAGCACUCCGCCUGGGGAGUACGACCGCAAGGUUGAAACUCAAAGGAAUUGACGGGGACCCGCACAAGCGGUGGAGCAUGUGGUUUAAUUCGAAGCAACGCGAAGAACCUUACCAAAUCUUGACAUCCUUUGACAACUCUAGAGAUAGAGCCUUCCCCUUCGGGGGACAAAGUGACAGGUGGUGCAUGGUUGUCGUCAGCUCGUGUCGUGAGAUGUUGGGUUAAGUCCCGCAACGAGCGCAACCCUUAAGCUUAGUUGCCAUCAUUAAGUUGGGCACUCUAAGUUGACUGCCGGUGACAAACCGGAGGAAGGUGGGGAUGACGUCAAAUCAUCAUGCCCCUUAUGAUUUGGGCUACACACGUGCUACAAUGGACAAUACAAAGGGCAGCGAAACCGCGAGGUCAAGCAAAUCCCAUAAAGUUGUUCUCAGUUCGGAUUGUAGUCUGCAACUCGACUACAUGAAGCUGGAAUCGCUAGUAAUCGUAGAUCAGCAUGCUACGGUGAAUACGUUCCCGGGUCU